UACGUAGGGUGCAAGCGUUAAUCGGAAUUACUGGGCGUAAAGCGUGCGCAGGCGGUUAUGCAAGACAGAUGUGAAAUCCCCGGGCUUAACCUGGGAACUGCAUUGGUGACUGGCAGGCUUUGAGUGUGGCAGAGGGGGGUAGAAUUCCACGUGUAGCAGUGAAAUGCGUAGAGAUGUGGAGGAAUACCGAUGGCGAAGGCAGCCCCCUGGGCCAACACUGACGCUCAUGCACGAAAGCGUGGGGAGCAAACAGG
rnacentral:rRNA from 1 species